CAGCCAUUUUGCUCCCCUGAGAGAAGGGCCUGAAGUUAGAGCCCACAGGAAGAGGCAGAGCUGAGAGGGAAAAAAACACCAAGUCUUGUGACACUGAGCAGUGGAAUCUGCCUGUCCUCCUCUGGACAUUUCAGUAGUUUAGUCAUUCAGUUCCCUUUCUUGCUUCAUCUGGUGUUGAGUUUUUCUGUCACUUAUUGCAAAGAGUCCUAAUUGAUGUGAACAGAAGGGAGAGGUUUCCUUUUUUUCUCUCUCUCUGAUCCAAAAUGACUGCUGCAUCAGUAAACACUUGGGAGUGAAGCAGGCGCUGUAGACCAUCGCCCGGGAAUGCCUACGUCUCACCAGCACCACGUGCCUUACAUAUCACGCACAUCCAGGAUGCCCAUACACCCUCAGCAUGGUGGGGAACACGGGAGGCAGCAGGGUAGAGGAAAACAGGGGGCCCUAAACAGGGCUAAGUUCCAGCUUACCACUCAUAAAAAUAGUGGUACUUUUGGCCAGCUGGGUUGUUAUGAAAAGUAGAAAUAAUAAAUGUGAACAACCUAUCGUGAUGCCAGCAGCAGAGGAUAGCCCCGUGCACAUGUAGAAUCUCACGAAUGUGAUUCAAGUCAGGCAUCUUAAAACCCUUUUCAAUGAUACUUUCUUAUAAGGGAGCAGGCAACGUGUUUCACUAGGGAAUAAAAAAGAAGGGCCCU
rnacentral:lncRNA from 10 species